UACGUAGGGGGCAAGCGUUGUCCGGAAUCAUUGGGCGUAAAGCGCGUGUAGGCGGCCCGGUAAGUCCGCUGUGAAAGUCCAGGGCUCAACCCUGGAAUGCCGGUGGAUACUGUCGGGCUCGAGUCCGGAAGAGGUGAGUGGAAUUCCUGGUGUAGCGGUGAAAUGCGCAGAUAUCAGGAGGAACACCAAUGGCGAAGGCAGCUCGCUGGGACGGUACUGACGCUGAGACGCGAAAGCGUGGGGAGCAAACAGG
rnacentral:rRNA from 1 species